UAGAAUAAACAGUACACAAAGUUAAAAAUUUAACGCAAGCGCUUUCAUUUUAUAAUCCUCAGGCGUUACAUUUUAAAAUAGUUUUGAAAUGGUUUGACGUCAUAAAGGCGUCCUAACAUUUCACGUACAUAACGACGCCAUAAACGAAUGAAGGGAAAAGGAUUUUACGUUAAGCAUAUUAUGACGUCAUAGAUAAUAACAGUAAACAUAUUUUACAGUAAGCUAUUGAGAGCCGGUUUUAAGGUAGAGACCGAUAGCAACCACGUGAUCAGUAAAAAUCGUGUAUUUUCACGUGAAAUUAUUUUUCGGAAUUCCGUACAUCGCCAUAGAGUAGUUGAAAAACAAAAAGGGGUUCCGAAAGUACAAGUUGCUGUGACUGAAUCGAUGAUUGAGAGGGUCGUCUCGACGAAAGAUAUAGAAAUUUGGCCAUAGUUUAGAUUAGGAAUACGUCAAUGUAAUAAUAGUGGACUAAAUGUUUCGUCCGUGCAGAAUGGCACUUUUUACCUCACGAAAUUCACCACCAUGCAUAGCUGCGCUACGUAAACAAAGUUGUUGAUGUAGCGUGAUCGUGGUGUCCGAGUGCUGCGAGUUUCAAUACUGUUUAUGUAGUCAUUGAGAGUUUAAACAAAGUUUCUUCUGAGAAGAGGAAUUCGAUGGAUGCAUUCAACGUGGACAACGAAAUCAUAAUUUCGUUUGGUAAGUGAAAAAAAUGGCAAAUUGAAUUUGUAUUCAACCCACUUUUCCUCUGCUAUUUCACAACGCGAUUUUAUAAUAACAUCUAUAAACGCACAAUUUGGAGCUGUUUCAUUUUUUGUGCAUUUAUGUAUUCCAUAUGUGCCCAAAAUAUAACUCCUACAUGUGCAUGUAAUUGUAAAUGGAUGUCAUGUAUAUGCCAGAUUUGAAAAAAAAUAGGGCUCUCACAAGUUUGGGGGGGGGGGGGGGGGGUUGCACUAAAAUUCUAUUUGGUAUAAAUGAUAGUACUUAUAGUAUCUUGAAAUUUCAUUGACCUAAGGGAUAUUUCAAAUCUGGGGUUUCAUGUUUCAUACAAGCAUGUAGGUCUACAAAACUUUAUUUAAAAUAUUUGUAAAAUCACAAGCCCCCCUCAUAGGCAAAUAAAUGUAUUGUAUGAAAAUAAGAUAUGGAUGUCCUUCUCUUGACCCACACUCCGUAAAGGAGACAGGUCUGAUAAAUCUAGAGUUGACUUGUUUUGAUAUUAUUAGAAUGAACUGGCAGUUUAUGAAAACAUAUCUGUCAUCUCAUAUUGUAAUAUGAUAAUUAUGAUGUUUAUUCACCUCAUUAAGGACCCGGGGGUGGGAGGGUAUGUACAGUUUAAAUAGAAGGUAACUAUAACAAUAUGAAAUAAAUAGCAAUCAUGCAGAUGUACUACUACUGCAAGAGUUCACAUUGCUGCACUGCACACAUUUAACAUACAUGUAGUGUUACAUAUGUAAUACUGAUUUCAGACAAGAUUUUAAAAAUUAACAUAAUAAAAUACAUGUUAUGUGUGUAUUUUUCAAUAUAUCAGCAUUUUAAAGUUCACUAAACAUGCAUUGAGACACACGAUUUUAAAAUUGACAUUGUCUGACACAGUAUAAUUAAUGAUUAAUACUGACUGUGCAAAUAUUAAUUAUGAUGAUUUUUUUUCUAAGCAUCAUCCUAAGGACCAGUGCAAGUUGAAAUGGGCUUCCAGCCAACAACUUCAACAGCAAUUUGCCAUGAAAAUCAGCAAGAAAGGUACUUCAUUUACAUUGAUGAUGUCAUAUCCCCUGGACCCCACAACUUCAUAGGUUACAGAGAAAAUUCAAGAACUUCUGCAAAAUAUGGGACUUGGAUAGAAUCAAUAAUGUAUUUGUGAGCCCCGAGCAAUGGAUAUAUUGUGCAACAUACUAAAGUGUGAAUUUAAUGGAAAACAAGUACAUGUACUCAUGUAUUACAUGUCUUUUUUAAAGACAAUAAUAUUGUAUAAAUAUAGAGGAAGUGUCAUUGUUGAUUAUUCUAAGUUUUUGAUAUAUCAAAAUCAGUAAACAUUUCUAAAUGAAAAUAAAAUACCAAUUUUAUAACUUUAA